rnacentral:rRNA from 1 species
GACGAACGCUGGCGGCGUGCUUAACACAUGCAAGUCGAGCGGUAAGGCCCUUUCGGGGGUACGACGAGCGGCGAACGGGUGAGUAACACGUGGGUGACCUGCCCUCAGCUCUGGGAUAAGCCUGGGAAACCGGGGUCUAAUACCGGAUAUGACUCCAUGACGCAUGUUGUGGGGUGGAAAGCCUUGUGCGGCUGAGGAUGGGCCCGCGGCCUAUCAGCUUGUUGGUGGGGUGAUGGCCUACCAAGGCGACGACGGGUAGCCGGCCUGAGAGGGCGACCGGCCACACUGGGACUGAGACACGGCCCAGACUCCUACGGGAGGCAGCAGUGGGGAAUCUUGCGCAAUGGGCGAAAGCCUGACGCAGCGACGCCGCGUGAGGGAUGACGGCCUG